rnacentral:sRNA from 1 species
CUCAGGCUUAGGCUUAGGCUUAUUCCUAGGCUUAGGCUCAGGCUUAGGUUUAGG